rnacentral:rRNA from 2 species
AGCGUACACGGUGGAUGCCCUGGCAGUCAGAGGCGAUGAAGGACGUGCUAAUCUGCGAUAAGCGUCGGUAAGGUGAUAUGAACCGUUAUAACCGGCGAUUUCCGAAUGGGGAAACCCAGUGUGAUUCGUCACACUAUCAUUAACUGAAUCCAUAGGUUAAUGAGGCGAACCGGGGGAACUGAAACAUCUAAGUACCCCGAGGAAAAGAAAUCAACCGAGAUUCCCCCAGUAGCGGCGAGCGAACGGGGAGCAGCCCAGAGCCUGAAUCAGUGUGUGUGUUAGUGGAAGCGUCUGGAAAGGCGCGCGAUACAGGGUGACAGCCCCGUACACAAAAAUGCACAUGCUGUGAGCUCGAUGAGUAGGGCGGGACACGUGGUAUCCUGUCUGAAUAUGGGGGGACCAUCCUCCAAGGCUAAAUACUCCUGACUGACCGAUAGUGAACCAGUACCGUGAGGGAAAGGCGAAAAGAACCCCGGCGAGGGGAGUGAAAAAGAACCUGAAACCGUGUACGUACAAGCAGUGGGAGCACGCUUAGGCGUGUGACUGCGUACCUUUUGUAUAAUGGGUCAGCGACUUAUAUUCUGUAGCAAGGUUAACCGAAUAGGGGAGCCGAAGGGAAACCGAGUCUUAACUGGGCGUUAAGUUGCAGGGUAUAGACCCGAAACCCGGUGAUCUAGCCAUGGGCAGGUUGAAGGUUGGGUAACACUAACUGGAGGACCGAACCGACUAAUGUUGAAAAAUUAGCGGAUGACUUGUGGCUGGGGGUGAAAGGCCAAUCAAACCGGGAGAUAGCUGGUUCUCCCCGAAAGCUAUUUAGGUAGCGCCUCGUGAAUUCAUCUCCGGGGGUAGAGCACUGUUUCGGCAAGGGGGUCAUCCCGACUUACCAACCCGAUGCAAACUGCGAAUACCGGAGAAUGUUAUCACGGGAGACACACGGCGGGUGCUAACGUCCGUCGUGAAGAGGGAAACAACCCAGACCGCCAGCUAAGGUCCCAAAGUCAUGGUUAAGUGGGAAACGAUGUGGGAAGGCCCAGACAGCCAGGAUGUUGGCUUAGAAGCAGCCAUCAUUUAAAGAAAGCGUAAUAGCUCACUGGUCGAGUCGGCCUGCGCGGAAGAUGUAACGGGGCUAAACCAUGCACCGAAGCUGCGGCAGCGACGCUUAUGCGUUGUUGGGUAGGGGAGCGUUCUGUAAGCCUGCGAAGGUGUGCUGUGAGGCAUGCUGGAGGUAUCAGAAGUGCGAAUGCUGACAUAAGUAACGAUAAAGCGGGUGAAAAGCCCGCUCGCCGGAAGACCAAGGGUUCCUGUCCAACGUUAAUCGGGGCAGGGUGAGUCGACCCCUAAGGCGAGGCCGAAAGGCGUAGUCGAUGGGAAACAGGUUAAUAUUCCUGUACUUGGUGUUACUGCGAAGGGGGGACGGAGAAGGCUAUGUUGGCCGGGCGACGGUUGUCCCGGUUUAAGCGUGUAGGCUGGUUUUCCAGGCAAAUCCGGAAAAUCAAGGCUGAGGCGUGAUGACGAGGCACUACGGUGCUGAAGCAACAAAUGCCCUGCUUCCAGGAAAAGCCUCUAAGCAUCAGGUAACAUCAAAUCGUACCCCAAACCGACACAGGUGGUCAGGUAGAGAAUACCAAGGCGCUUGAGAGAACUCGGGUGAAGGAACUAGGCAAAAUGGUGCCGUAACUUCGGGAGAAGGCACGCUGAUAUGUAGGUGAAGUCCCUCGCGGAUGGAGCUGAAAUCAGUCGAAGAUACCAGCUGGCUGCAACUGUUUAUUAAAAACACAGCACUGUGCAAACACGAAAGUGGACGUAUACGGUGUGACGCCUGCCCGGUGCCGGAAGGUUAAUUGAUGGGGUCAGCGCAAGCGAAGCUCUUGAUCGAAGCCCCGGUAAACGGCGGCCGUAACUAUAACGGUCCUAAGGUAGCGAAAUUCCUUGUCGGGUAAGUUCCGACCUGCACGAAUGGCGUAAUGAUGGCCAGGCUGUCUCCACCCGAGACUCAGUGAAAUUGAACUCGCUGUGAAGAUGCAGUGUACCCGCGGCAAGACGGAAAGACCCCGUGAACCUUUACUAUAGCUUGACACUGAACAUUGAGCCUUGAUGUGUAGGAUAGGUGGGAGGCUUUGAAGUGUGGACGCCAGUCUGCAUGGAGCCGACCUUGAAAUACCACCCUUUAAUGUUUGAUGUUCUAACGUUGACCCGUAAUCCGGGUUGCGGACAGUGUCUGGUGGGUAGUUUGACUGGGGCGGUCUCCUCCUAAAGAGUAACGGAGGAGCACGAAGGUUGGCUAAUCCUGGUCGGACAUCAGGAGGUUAGUGCAAUGGCAUAAGCCAGCUUGACUGCGAGCGUGACGGCGCGAGCAGGUGCGAAAGCAGGUCAUAGUGAUCCGGUGGUUCUGAAUGGAAGGGCCAUCGCUCAACGGAUAAAAGGUACUCCGGGGAUAACAGGCUGAUACCGCCCAAGAGUUCAUAUCGACGGCGGUGUUUGGCACCUCGAUGUCGGCUCAUCACAUCCUGGGGCUGAAGUAGGUCCCAAGGGUAUGGCUGUUCGCCAUUUAAAGUGGUACGCGAGCUGGGUUUAGAACGUCGUGAGACAGUUCGGUCCCUAUCUGCCGUGGGCGCUGGAGAACUGAGGGGGGCUGCUCCUAGUACGAGAGGACCGGAGUGGACGCAUCACUGGUGUUCGGGUUGUCAUGCCAAUGGCACUGCCCGGUAGCUAAAUGCGGAAGAGAUAAGUGCUGAAAGCAUCUAAGCACGAAACUUGCCCCGAGAUGAGUUCUCCCUGACUCCUUGA